UCCCGCCCAUGUGCCCACACACACAAGCCUGCGCCCCCUCUGAUGGGCUGUUGCCUGCCAAGUGGGUCUGGCUGACACUCUUAGGACAAGUUCUCCAUCCUGGACCCCCUGGAACAGGUGCCCACGAAAGUCAUUCUGAAGCCCUGGUCAUGAAGGACACUUAUAGGCCUGUGUCCCUGCUGGGGCCUCACUGUGCGGUAAUGACCUGCUCACUCGACUGCCUCCUCCAGCAGGGCCUUGUCUUACUGUCACAGCGGACACGCAGCGGGCACUGGGCGAAUAAGUACAUGCUUAUGAGGACAGCAAGGCUAAAGGACUUGCCCGAGUUGUUCACCAGGAAGCCUGAGUGUCAAGCCUGCACCCUGGACCACUGGCCCAGCAACGUCCCUAUGGAGGUGGAGCAACUGAGCCCCGGCUGGCCCCAGUAACCUGGAUCCAGAAUCCUUCCCUCCUUGGACUGGACUUCUCCUUCCAUAAAACAGGCUUAACUGCACUUGCCACCUGGUGAUGGGGCUCUUUGAGCAACCUGGAUAAAAGAUUGUGUAAAAUAGGAGCCCUGUCGCCAGACUGGGCGGGGUGGAGUAGGGAGCCCACAUCAGAUCCCCAGGAGGCAGAGAAACAGCCCUUGGGGGUCAGGAGGCACCAAGAUUCUCUGAGGUUACUGCCUCCUGUCAGCUGUCAGACGUGUUCCCACAGGCAGAAAGCCUGAAAUAAAGCCUCCUCUCACCCAGGACACUCUGUCUGUGAUGGUUAAAUGACAGACGCUGACACCCUGGCAGCUGAUGGGCACAGACAGCCAGGAGGAAGAUACAGAUGUGGCCUUGGCUGCAGGGAAGUGGCUAGACGUGCCUACUAGGUGUGCAUUUGACACAAGCAUUCUGAGCACUAGUAGGGUGGGUCCGGGCACAAGUAUUCGGAGUCAUGGGGGAGGCAGACAGGACACGGCUCAUUCCACCACCACGUGGGGGGGAAUGGGGAAGUCUGGUCUCUGGAAGCUACCUGACUCGCCUCCAAGGCCAAAAUAAACCCUUCUCCCUUCUGAAGACCACAGGUGGCACAAGCCCUUUGUGCUGAAGCAGCUCCGCCCCUCACUUGACGUCACCGAGGAAACAGGCCAAGAAGCCUUGUCGAGUUGACCGUCACACAGCCAGUUGCGUGACAGACAGGACAGUUGUUAUUAUUCGCAUUUUACAAAUGAGAGGUGCAGUGGCUCACAGAGCAGGUCACAGAGCAAGCCAGUGGUGCCCCGGCCUAGACCCGGGGCCACAGAUUCUGCAUCCUCCUUGCUUUUCACCGCAGCCCACGCUGA